GACAGAGGGUGCAAACGUUGUUCGGAAUUACUGGGCGUAAAGCGUGUGUAGGUGGCUGCGUAAGUCGGAUGUGAAAGCCCUGGGCUCAACUCAGGAAGUGCACUCGAUACUGCGUAGCUCGAGUACCGGAGAGGUUGGUAGAAUUCUCGGUGUAGAGGUGAAAUUCGUAGAUAUUCGCAAGAACACCAGUGGCGAAGGCGGCUCACUGGCCCGAUACUGACGCUGAGGCACGAAAGCGUGGGGAGCAAACAGG
rnacentral:rRNA from 1 species